CGCCUGGGGAGUACGGGUGAGGUAACGGCUCACCAAGGCGACGACGGGUAGCCGGCCUGAGAGGGUGACCGGCCACACUGGGACUGAGACACGGCCCAGACUCCUACGGGAGGCAGCAGUGGGGAAUAUUGCACAAUGGGCGCAAGCCUGAUGCAGCAACGCCGCGUGAGGGAUGACGGCCUUCGGGUUGUAAACCUCUUUUAGCAGGGAAGAAGCGAAAGUGACGGUACCUGCAGAAAAAGCACCGGCUAACUACGUGCCAGCAGCCGCGGUAAUACGUAGGGUGCAAGCGUUGUCCGGAAUUAUUGGGCGUAAAGAGCUCGUAGGCGGUUUGUCACGUCUGCUGUGAAAAUCCAAGGCUCAACCUUGGACUUGCAGUGGGUACGGGCAGGCUAGAGUACGGUAGGGGAGAUGGGAAUUCCUGGUGUAGCGGUGGAAUGCGCAGAUAUCAGGAGGAACACCAAUGGCGAAGGCACAUCUCUGGGCCGUAACUGACGCUGAGGAGCGAAAGCGUGGGGAGCGAACAGGAUUAGAUACCCUGGUAGUCCACGCCGUAAACGGUGGGUGCUAGCUGUGGGCCACAUUCCACGUGGUCCGUGACGAAGUUAACACAUUAAGCACCCCGCCUGGGGAGUACGG
rnacentral:rRNA from 1 species